UACGUAGGGGGCAAGCGUUGUCCGGAUUUAUUGGGCGUAAAGAGCGUGUAGGCGGCCACACAGGUCAGCUGUGAAAACUCGAGGCUCAACCUCGAGACGUCGGUUGAAACCGUAUGGCUAGAGUCCGGAAGAGGAGAGUGGAAUUCCCCGGUGUAGCGGUGAAAUGCGCAGAUAUCGGGAAGAACACCCGUGGCGAAGGCGGCUCUCUGGGGACGGUACUGACGCUGAGACGCGAAAGCGUGGGGAGCGAACAGG
rnacentral:rRNA from 1 species